GUUGGAAUACAUCAGGAUCUAGUUUGUUAAGUUAUUUGAUCAGCCUUACCAGCACUAGUUUCACUUAUGGCCCUAGGGGAGGCAGAUUGCAGCAUUCAUGUCACAGUCAUCUCCAAUUUCCUCUACUUUCCCUCUGAGUCCCAGCUUAUAUUCUACUCAACAUCCAGGCUUCAAUGUUCCUGGUACUGAAUCUUAUCAACAAUACCAGGAUGAAUCUAGACCU
rnacentral:misc_RNA from 1 species